AGUGAACGCUGGCGGUAGGCCUAACACAUGCAAGUCGAACGGCAGCACAGUAAGAGCUUGCUCUUACGGGUGGCGAGUGGCGGACGGGUGAGGAAUACAUCGGAAUCUACUUUUUCGUGGGGGAUAACGUAGGGAAACUUACGCUAAUACCGCAUACGACCUACGGGUGAAAGCAGGGGAUCUUCGGACCUUGCGCGAUUGAAUGAGCCGAUGUCGGAUUAGCUAGUUGGCGGGGUAAAGGCCCACCAAGGCGACGAUCCGUAGCUGGUCUGAGAGGAUGAUCAGCCACCCUGGAACUGGGACACGGUCCAGACUCCUACGGGAGGCAGCAGUGGGGAAUAUUGGACAAUGGGCGCAAGCCUGAUCCAGCCAUACCGCGUGGGUGAAGAAGGCCUUCGGGUUGUGAAGCCCUUUUGUUGGGAAAGAAAAGCAGCAGGUUAAUACCCCGCUGUUCUGACGGUACCCAAAGAAUAAGCACCGGCUAACUUCGUG
rnacentral:rRNA from 1 species